CAGCAGUGGGGAAUAUUGCACAAUGGGCGCAAGCCUGAUGCAGCCAUGCCGCGUGUAUGAAGAAGGCCUUCGGGUUGUAAAGUACUUUCAGCAGUGAGGAAGGCGGGUACGUUAAUAGCGUGCUCGUUUGACGUUUAGCUGCAGAAGAAGCACCGGCUAACUCCGUGCCAGCAGCCGCGGUAAUACGGAGGGUGCGAGCGUUAAUCGGAAUUACUGGGCGUAAAGCGCAUGCAGGUGGUUUGUUAAGUCAGAUGUGAAAGCCCGGGGCUCAACCUCGGAAUUGCAUUUGAAACUGGCAGACUAGAGUACUGUAGAGGGGGUAGAAUUUCAGGUGUAGCGGUGAAAUGCGUAGAGAUCUGAAGGAAUACCGGUGGCGAUGGCGGCCCCCUCGGACAGAUACUGACACUCAGAUGCGAAAGCGUGGGGAGCAAACAGGAUUAGAUACCCUGGUAG
rnacentral:rRNA from 1 species